UUUUUGUGAGUUAAAAACAUUCAUGUGAGCAAAGAUGCAACUUAUAUAGAGAAUUACAUUUUCUAUUGAGGAUUCUGGGAUAUUCACAAGAAAAUCAACCUUUGAAAAAUGAGGUUCUUUGAGAGCCGUGGAUCACUGACUGGCUGAUCCUGUAUUUACUCUCUUUUCUCUUUUUUCUAUCUAUUUUAUGGACAACGAGAGGUUGGAUUCAGACAGCAGUAAAGGAAUUUGGAUUUCAGAUGUACUGUCUAUAGGACGGGGUUAGACUGAGUACUCCCUGCUUCACUGAAUACCUGCUUCAAAUCACCUUUCACAUUUUCUUGUUGGAAAGACAACCAUUGGAGAAUUAUCUUGUUACCGUCAGCAAAAAUGGAAACAGAUCAAAACAUUAAGAAUGCCACGGCGGCCAGCAGUUAAUGAUGCCAGUGUUAUGCAAGCUUCAGCAAAGGAAGUUUUCAAGACAGUGUGCCUCACUAGCCAGAAAUCAGAGAUCAAACCUAUUCUUUUUGUCUCAGCUGCUCCUUAAAUCAGUGCAACCCCUCCAAAUUAAUGUGAACUGAAAUGUGCAUGGCCUUUUCAACUUAACUGAGUACUUACUAUGUGUGAAUCACUGAACAAAAGAGAGGAGAGAAAAUGAGGGAGACAAAUAAGUUGUGGUUCCUGUGUUCAAUGUAUUUACAAUUAGUUUUAGGGCACAUUUGUUUUUUUGUCUUCUGCUCUUAAUUAAAUGUGUCCCUAAGACAGGAAACAAAUGAAUGGAAAAGUGUAUUCAGUAAGUAUUCCUUUUAAUAAAAAACAAAACAAGACAAAAAAACCUCCUAAUGUGGGCAACUCAGGACAUCUUAAUUCCUUUUUUUUUGGACUUCCAAUAGGUAGGGUUCAUUUUAUUGAUUCCAUAUUCAAUAGACUUUAGAGAUAUUAACACAUUAUAGUUGGAGUUAAUUUGACUUAAAUCUUUUUUCCCACUUAGGUGUAGUUGGCUGUUGCAAAAAUAUUUUGUGUUUGUACAUUUCUUGAGGAGUGGGGAGGCAAAUUACAUCUGUUGUCUGUAUAGGCCCUACCUUCCAUGCCCUGGGGGCCUGCCAUUCUGGGUGAGUUAUUAGCAUGGAGAAGGGGAAGAUUUGGAUCAAUCUUGGGGGUAUUGCUUGUGGACCCAAGAGAGGACAGGGAAGGAGCCAAACAGACCUGGGUAAUGGCUCUGUGUGAACAUUUGGCUAACUAUGUCAGUGUUGACUGUGUUGUCCUCUGUGUUCCAUAAAUUGAAUGACUAUACAAUUUUUCUGAAAAAUUAUUUCUGGUCUGAGAAUAAGUACAGGUCAUGAUUUUUUCAGUGUUGACACUAACAUGACUGUAGACACUAGACAUUUUAUGUAGUGUCUGUGACACAUUUUAGUAUGUAUGAGCCAACCAAAAACAUAUCUUUGUCUUGAGUAGUGUCCAUCUGAAUUGAAAAUGUGCCAGCGUUUUUUUCAGCAUCAUCAACAGACUUCUUAAUUAAGCUGCCAAUACAUACUGCCAAUAGCACUGUGUGCCAUUUGAGAAAUGAAUUGUGUAAGUACUGUUUCCCUCUUAUUGAUAAACAAUGUUUCUCCAUAAAAAACGAGUUUAAAGUGUUCUUUGAAUGGGGUGUUAUAUUGUUCCCUAAAGAAUUUGGUGAGAAUUCUCAUACCAUCCCUUUUAAUUUAAUUUCUAAAAACUGUUAUUUUGCUCCUCAGUAAGGAAUAGCUCUAAUUUGACCAAUGAGUUUAGCUAUAUGAUUCAUCCUUAAUAGAAUGAAUUGACCCACCUUCAAACUUCUGAUGGUGGUAUUGGAUAUUUGUUAUGUCACUUUCAGUUUGUGUGAAAUUGCUGCCAGGAAAUCUGAGUUAUGAACCUGUGUUGUACUAAUUGUAGAUAUUUAUUUCCUGUUUUGGGAGAUUUUUAGGUGGGACCAUCUCUAUUCCUGGUGCCUAGCAUGGUGCCUGGUCCAUAGUGGGUGUGUGUUCAGUAAGCAUUUGGUGAUCAAGGUGUGUAAAGUAGCUGUUUUCUUCUAGGGUUCUUAAGGCUCUAUAAAGACAGAGGGGGUCUUGC
rnacentral:lncRNA from 1 species